UAGAAAUUUCAGUUACCACAAUAAAAAGCAUAUUUUCUUCACUAAAAGAUGGAAAUUAUAUAGUCAUAGUAAUGAAAAGAAACUAAAUACUUUGUAAUGAACUAAGUUUACUUUUUCUUACUGAUAACACGUCGCCUGAGGAGUCCCGAGACUAACUUAUUAGACAAAAUCUAUUUUGCCAAAUAGAACCUUAUAAUUUACCAUAGUCUCUUUCAAGAGCGAGACAAACAGUCCAACUCUCUCUUUUCUUGCAUUUUUAUAACUUUUUUAUAGAAUGGUUUGCUUGGUCUUUAAAUUAGGUCUCUUGUUCGACGAAGACUGCAUAACUAAAACGAAGUUCAGCUCACACAACUUUGCCAUCGUAACUAUCGACGAACGCCAGUUGGAGUUCGUUUCUUCCUAAUUUCCUUCUUCAAAAAAGAGUAAUAGCGUUGUAUAGAAUUUGCUACAUAUGUUUUUUCCUUUUUCAAGGGAGUCGAUAAAUGUUACACCCUACGCAUCCCAAAAUAUGGUAGUCAUAAACUUCCAGCAAACUGUGGCGUUCUUGUUCACUUUAAGCUGUCUCACACUUUGCUUCUCACUAAGCUGAGUGCUGAUUGAACUUUGCUCCAAACAACUUUCAAAUCAUUAAUACGUUGUUGUUUAUGGCCCACUACGAGAAAAUGCGGUACUCACUUCAAAAAAAGUUUCCUCAUACCCGAAUAAUCGUGCGAAAUAAUGCGUGCACGCCCCAUUGAUAUCUUUCCGAUAGCAGUUAACUCACGCAACUUCACUUUACGAUCAACAACGACAAUUUAGUGUAUUUAUUUCAUGUUUUUCGAAUAACUGCCUUUAUUGGGCGUCCAGAGUUUCAGCUUGUCCGUCGAUCCCUUUUAAACUCAGCAAACCCUUAGCCAUUUGCUGUUUUCCACGGAGCAGAUUCCUUAUAACUCCUUUUCCACCAUUGCUGAGCUUGAACGGUUAAAUUACUCAUUUCAAAUUACGAUAAGUAAGAACGAAAGGACUUAUCAUUUGAAGGUUGGUACUAACUGAGAACGGUAUGAACUCUUUUUAAGAGGGGCAUAUGUGGGUCACCUUGGGACUUUUCAGGCGACGUGUCAAAACUGUAUUUAGUCGAGCUUACAAAUUAAUUGAUAUCAACCUCUUAAAGAAAGAGAAGUAAAAAGAUUAAGUGAAGGACUUUUUCGGAGAUAAUUUGGCAAAAAUAAAACAGGAUCUCGAUGUAAAGGGAGUUCAUCAUUGGACGUGGUUAAAAUAAGUAUACAUCAAGGCUACGUACCUGUGAGCAAAGUGCGUUAAAUGCAAAAAGAGCAUCACUUCAAAUUAUCCUAUAUAAUACAAGGAAAAUUCUUUAAGCGCCAAUUACCUAUAGCGGUUGUUUAUUUAAUCCUUAAAGCUUCAUUGAGACCUAAAAGGAGUCAUGACAAAUCUUAGUUUUACCUACUCUUAAAGAACUGUGGAAACCUCCGACCAAAAAAUACAAAUUAAUUAAAAUAAGUGAUUUUGUAUAUCAAGUUUUUAAUUACUGUGAACUGCUACUACCAGAUAAAUUUCUUGCUCGCUCGAGAAAAAAAAAUACUUUCUACACUCAACAUAGACCGAAAAAGUAUUUCCAAAUUUUUUUAAAAAAACCAAAGUACCCCGGGCUCUCUUAUUACCUCUAGUGCCUUCAAUCUUCAUUAGAGCUCUUCCACG